UAGCCGUAAACGAUACUCGCUAGGUGUCGGCCACGGUGCGACCGUUGUCGGUGCCGUAGGGAAGCCGUGAAGCGAGCCACCUGGGAAGUACGGCCGCAAGGCUGAAACUUAAAGGAAUUGGCGGGGGAGCACCACAACGGGUGGAGCUUGCGGUUUAAUUGGAUUCAACGCCGGAAAUCUUACCGGGACCGACAGCAACAUGAAGGCCAAGCUGAAGACUUUGCCGGAUUAGCUGAGAGGUGGUGCAUGGCGUAGUCGUGU
rnacentral:rRNA from 1 species